UGUAUCAAGCAUAAUGAUGUCAUGCCU
rnacentral:sRNA from 1 species